GCAUGCUUAGUAUAGUGGUUAGUACUCCACGUUGUGGCCGUGGCGACGCUGGUUCGAUUCCAGCAGCAGGCA
rnacentral:tRNA from 1 species